rnacentral:rRNA from 1 species
GACAGAGGGUGCGAGCGUUAAUCGGAAUUACUGGGCGUAAAGCGCAUGUAGGCGGAUGCUUAAGUCAGAUGUGAAAGCCCGGAGCUUAACUCCGGAACUGCAUUUGAUACUGGGCAUCUAGAGUAUGGUAGAGGAAAGUGGAAUUUCUGGUGUAGCGGUGAAAUGCAUAGAUAUCAGAAGGAACAUCAGUGGCGAAGGCGGCUUUCUGGACCAAUACUGACGCUGAGAUGCGAAAGCGUGGGGAGCAAACAGG